rnacentral:rRNA from 1 species
AGUGAACGCUGGCGGUAGGCCUAACACAUGCAAGUCGAACGGCAGCACAGUAAGAGCUUGCUCUUACGGGUGGCGAGUGGCGGACGGGUGAGGAAUACAUCGGAAUCUACUUUUUCGUGGGGGAUAACGUAGGGAAACUUACGCUAAUACCGCAUACGACCUACGGGUGAAAGCAGGGGAUCUUCGGACCUUGCGCGAUUGAAUGAGCCGAUGUCGGAUUAGCUAGUUGGCGGGGUAAAGGCCAACCAAGGCGACGAUCCGUAGCGGGUCUGAGAGAAUGAUCAGCCACACUGGAACUGGGACACGGUCCAGACUCCUACGGGAGGCAGCAGUGGGGAAUAUUGGACAAUGGGCGCAAGCCUGAUCCAGCCAUACCGCGUGGGUGAAGAAGGCCUUCGGGUUGUAAAGCCCUUUUGUUGGGAAAGAAAAGCAGCAGGUUAAUACCCCGCUGUUCUGACGGUACCCAAAGAAUAAGCACCGGCUAACUUCGUG